rnacentral:rRNA from 1 species
AGAGUUUGAUCAUGGCUCAGAGUGAACGCUGGCGGCAGGCCUAAUACAUGCAAGUCGAACGGCAGCACAGCAGAGCUUGCUCUGUGGGUGGCGAGUGGCGGACGGGUGAGGAAUACGUGGGAAUCUGCCCAGUCGUGGGGGAUAACGUAGGGAAACUUACGCUAAUACCGCAUGCGCCCUUCGGGGAAAGCCGGGGACCUUCGGGCCUGGCGCGAUUGGAUGAGCCCACGUCGGAUUAGCUAGUUGGCGGGGUAAAGGCCCACCAAGGCGACGAUCCGUAGCUGGUCUGAGAGGAUGAUCAGCCACACUGGAACUGAGACACGGUCCAGACUCCUACGGGAGGCAGCAGUAGGGAAUAUUGGACAAUGGGCGCAAGCCUGAUCCAGCCAUGCCGCGUGAGUGAAGAAGGCCCUCGGGUUGUAAAGCUCUUUUGUCCGGAAAGAAAAGCGCCGGGUUAAUACCCUGGUGUCCCGACGGUACCGGAAGAAUAAGCACCGGCUAACUUCGUG